CAAAACUACUGUACAUCCCCGACAAGAGGCCAUUCAGUGUGAUACAUGUAAUUUAUGGCAGCACAGAACAUGCAACACUGGGAUCAGCAGAGACCAGUAUCGUCGAUUGGUGAAGAACUCGGAUGAGCUGGAGUGGAAUUGCAGCCAAUGCUCCAUGCAGGCUGCAGUAGACGAUUUCGAUGAGCGUCCAGCAGAAGUUGAAGAGAGCAUCGAGCAGCCACCAGAUGUUGAAGACAGCAUCGAGCAGCCACCAGAUGUUGAAGAUAGCAUCGGGCAGCCACCAGCAGCUGAUGCCACUUUUCACGUCUCCUUGGGAUCAUCUUUUGCAGAUCC